UCAAACCUUGCUGGACAGUUUGUGUUCAGUGAAGAAAGUAAAAUGGCGGCCGCGAUCGUAAAAGGCCUGUAACGUUGUUCUUGCACAAUACAUUUUUAAAGCUUUAAUUUAGCAAUUUUAAUUAGGUAUAUUUUACUAAUGCCUGUAAAUAUGCGAUAAGAGAAAAUACGUAAAAUUGUAGUUAUUACAAAAGUCCCGGCAGCCUCCAGCCCACAUCGCGAGGUACAUAAUGCCAGAGGAGGACGAAUUUGACCAAGUCGAUUCUGGCCGCCCUAGAUCAAAGAAAGGAAAACGUCAAAGAGAGGAAGAGGGGGAGGAGAGGGAGAGCGAGAGGAGGCGAG